UCCGGUUGAUCCUGCCGGACCAUACUGCUAUCGGGAUGAGACUAAGCCAUGCGAGUCAUGCGCUCUCCAGCCAUGUAGAGAGUGCGGCAGACGGCCCAAUAACACGUAGCUAACCUGCCCUAAAGAUGAGGAUAACCCCGGGAAACUGGGGCUAAUACUCAAUAGACGGUAGUACCUGGAAUGGUCAUCCGCCUAAAGGGCGUUAGAAACAUGCUUCUAACUUCGCCUUAGGAUGGAGCUGCGGCCGAUCAGGUUGUUGGUGGGGUAACGGCCUACCAAGCCUACAACCGGUACGGGCCCUGAGAGGGGGAGCCCGGAGAUGGGAACUGAGACAAGGUCCCAGGUCCUACGGGGCGCAGCAGGCGCGAAAACUCCACAAUGCACAAAAGUGUGAUGGGGUCAUCCCGAGUGCCGUCCGUUGAGGAUGGCUUUUUCCCAGUGUAAGGAACUGAGCGAAUAAAGGGGGGGCAAGUCUGGUGUCAGCCGCCGCGGUAAUACCAGCCCCCUGAGUGGUAUGGACGAUUAUUUGGCCUAAAGCGUCCGUAGCCGGCUCAGUAAGUCCUUCGUUAAAUCUAACGAUUCAAUCGUUAGACCGCGGAGGAUACUGCUAGGCUAGUGGAUGGGAGAGGUCGACGGUAGUCCUGGGGUAGGGGUGAAAUCCUAUAAUCCCAGGAGGACCACCAGUGGCGAAGGCGGUCGACUAGAACAUGCCUGACGGUGAUGGACGAAAGCUGGGGGAGCGAACCGGAUUAGACACCCGGGUAGUCCCAGCUGUAAACGAUGCGGGCUAGGUGUUGGGACAGCCAUGAGCUGCCCCAGUGCCGCAGAGAAGUUGUUAAGCCCGCCGCCUGGGAAGUACGGCCGCAAGGCUGAAACUUAAAGGAAUUGGCGGGGGAGCACCACAAGGGGUGAAGGCUGCGGUUCAAUUGGAGGCAACGCCGGGAAGCUUACCGGGACUGACAGCAGAGUGAAGGUCAGGCUAAAGGUCUUUCCAGACAAGCUGAGAGGAGGCGCAUGGCCGUCGCCAGUUCGUGCCGUAAGGUAUCCUGUUAAGUCAGGCAACGAACGAGACCCCCACUACUAGUUGCCAGCGGAUCCCAUUGGGAUGCCGGGCACACUAGUGGAACUGCCGCAGAUAAUGCGGAGGAAGGAGGGGGCUACGGCAGGUCAGUAUGCCCCGAAUGCCCCGGGCCACACGCGGCCUGCAAUGGUAGGGACAGAGGGCUCCAACCUCGAAAGUGGAAGGUAAUCCCUAAACCCUACCUCAGUUGGGAUUGAGGGCUGAAACCCGCCCUCAUGAACAUGGAAUCCCUAGUAACCGCGUGUUAUCAUCGCGCGGUGAAUACGUCCCCGCUCCUUGCACACACCGCCCGUCGCUCCAUCCAAGUCGGGUCCAGAUGAGGCGUGAUCUUAUUGGUCAUGUCAAAUCUGGGUUCGAUGAGGGGGGAGAAGUCGUAACAAGGUG
rnacentral:rRNA from 1 species